GUUGUAUGGUUAAGUGACUAAGCGUACACGGUGGAUGCCUUGGCAGUCAGAGGCGAUGAAAGACGUAGUAACUUGCGAUAAGCCCAGAUUAGGUAGUAACAACCAUUUGAGUCUGGGAUUUCUGAAUGGGGAAACCCACKWGCAUAAGCAMGUAUCCUUACCUGAAUACAUAGGGUAAGGAGGCGAACCGGGGGAACUGAAACAUCUAAGUACCCCGAGGAAAAGAAAUCAACCGAGAUUCCGAAAGUAGCGGCGAGCGAAAUUGGACUAGCCCUUAAGCUUUACACGCGUUAGACGAACGGUCUGGAAAGUCCGRCGAUACAGGGUGAUAGUCCCGUAGUUGACGACGUGUGUUCAGUGAAAUCGAGUAGGGCGGGACACGUGAUAUCCUGUCUGAAUAUGGGGGGACCAUCCUCCAAGGCUAAAUACUACUGACUGACCGAUAGUGAACCAGUACCGUGAGGGAAAGGCGAAAAGAACCCCUGUGAGGGGAGUGAAAUAGAACCUGAAACCGUGUACGUACAAGCAGUAGGAGCAGGCUUUGUCCUGUGACUGCGUACCUUUUGUAUAAUGGGUCAGCGACUUAUAUUCAGUGGCAAGGUUAACCAUCUAGGGGAGCCGUAGGGAAACCGAGUCUUAACUGGGCGUUCAGUCUCUGGAUAUAGACCCGAAACCAGGUGAUCUAGCCAUGGGCAGGUUGAAGGUUGAGUAACAUCAACUGGAGGACCGAACCGACUAAUGUUGAAAAAUUAGCGGAUGACUUGUGGCUAGGGGUGAAAGGCCAAUCAAA
rnacentral:rRNA from 1 species